CGCGGGGUAGAGCAGUUGGUAGCUCGUCGGGCUCAUAACCCGGAGGUCGUGUGGUUCAAGUCCCACCCCCGCAACCA
rnacentral:tRNA from 3 species